GUACUCGCUUCAGCAGCACAUAUACUAAAAUUGGAACAAUACAGAUAUUAUCAUGGCCUCUGUACAAGGAUGACACACAGAUUUGUGAAGCAUUCCAUAUUUUU